ensembl:lncRNA
GUUGCAUGUGAGUCUCUCAAGUGGAAAUGGAGAAGAAGCACAAAUAAAGACAUCUGUAAUGCACACCGGUGUAUGAAAAGGAUGUUUUGAUCUCAAACAAAAACGUCCAGGAGGACAGAAGCGUGAUCAGUCACCAGCAGAGAAGUGUUUGGUGGACAGCUUUGCGUACGCUGGGUUAUGUGGAGUGUCUUUGGGCCAGCUCUUUCAAGGAUCUGAGCAAAAAAACAUGUUCGAAUGUUCUGACACCUUCCUGUCCAUCUUGCAUGCGGAGCCACUGCUCAGAGCCGGAGCUUUACCCAUCACUCAGGAUCUUGUGUCAUUCUCAGUUAAAGAUGGACAUUAUGAUGCCAGGGCUCGAGUUCUGAUCCGACAUGUCAGCUGUCUGCUGCAUGUGACCCAACAGCAGCUGGAGGAUUCUGAAGAGACUCUCGGAGAGAAAUUGAGAGAGGCAGGAGAGGAGAACUCCUUUAUGGGAUUUUGGGGGGCUUAUCAGCAUGUAAAACACACACUGCUUUUGCUGUAGGAUGAAUCAUUUACAAGAGAUUGUUUCCACAAAGCCCACGUAGAGCCAUCUGCAGAUUCACAAAGAAAAGUCAAUACAGGGGAACAAUCAAUAUCAUUGUGAAAUCAGUGAAAGUGCUGUGAAAAUGUUGACAUGAGGAACAAACCUGAAUCUGUUUGAUGAUUUCUGUCUUUUUUUUUUGAUGUGGACCGUGCACAGCCGUGUAUAUGCAGCCUAGGUCAAGGUUUUUCCUUUCAGUUCAGCGCUUUCAUUUUAGUUUUAGUUUCUAAUAGAAUUCAGUUAACAUUGAACAACAUCUCUGAGCUUUCAUCAGCUCCAUUGAGCAUGCUCUGAAUCAAAUUGACAUUCUCUCAACAGAGAAGAGUCAUCAAGAAGGCAGAAGAAAGAGAGAGGUCGUAAAUUGCGCCGGUUCCUGCUCACCGGACUUGCCACUGUGGGUGGAGGAACAGUAAUUGGUGAGUCUAAAUGCCUUGGGCGUAUGUUUUAAGCUACAUUGGUCUCACCAAGGUGAAUGUCAGUGAAAAGUCAAUAAAACAUGCAUAAAGCCUGUUUGUUUGUUUGUA